GGUGAACCUGCGGAAGGAUCAUUAUUGAAUUUU
rnacentral:rRNA from 1 species